AACAAACCAUCCAUUAAACAACGUCAAACAAAAAAAUGCAACAAAAAGAUCCGUCAAAACCCAUCCAAAGAUGGAUAAUGAAACUUCGAAUCCCGAGACUAGGCGAGCAAACCAGAGAAAAACACAAAAGUAAGAAAUCUAUAACACAAUAAAAAAAGAGGUAGGCCCCCUGGACUUUAAUGUAGCUUAGAGAGGUGUAGACAGGGGUAGAAAUAUGCAAUUCAAAAAAAAGCGAUAUUCUAUGUAAUUUCUAUAGAUAAAGGCCCAAAUGGAAUCCGAAGAAUAAUUAAGCAAUCUCAUUGAUCACGUGGGUUCACAGCAACAGAGGCGCUGCCCCAUGUUCACGUUGCUGUCAGAUUCUCAUGUCUCUGUAAUUCUUUGAUAAUGACAUGGUCAUUUAUGUACAUUGAUAUUCAAGUAUGCGGCGAGCUCCUUUCUUCACUUUAUCCUCUCGAAGCAUAGCUCCGGAUUUUGUUACCAUUGAAUUCCCAAAUUAUCCCUGCCACCCACGUUUUCACUCUUCUAUUCCUCGUUCUGCUCACAGACUUGUCUUCUUUCUCCUGUAAAAUGCCUUUAAUUGAUGUUCACUAUCACCGAUUUUACCCGCAUCCAUAACUCAUUCAAUUACUUGUAACCUGACUCGCUGUGUUCCCCAUAUCAACUCACUGUAACAAUGAGCCGAAUCAGGAGCAUCGAGAUCCUCGAUCCCUACUGCCGCUCCCUCUAUGUUAGAGAAGCUUCCAUUUUCACUCCCAAGACCCUAGCUUUUCCCUCGUUUAUAGUAGAAGAGGAAACCGAUGAUCUCAGUUUUGCUCUUGAUCUUUUAAAACCCGACCCCUGUGAGCUCUUCGACUCAGUUUCGGAUCUGGUCCAAAUCGAGAAACCUUUGUCUUUUUACUCCUACAAGAGGAUCCAGAAACGAGUCGGGACCGAGUUGUGCUUCCAGACCCUAUGUGAUCGAGUCAGCGCUCUCGAGUCGAGGUUUGAACGGUUGAUCAACGCCAACGUCCGCGGCGGAGACCGGAAGUACACAUGGACGACGGAGAUCAAGGGACCAGUGGAGAGGAAGUACAAGUGGACUGCAGAGAUCAAAGAAGGAAAGAAGAAUAAAGAAGAGAAGAAGGCGGGAGUUGAGAAGAACUACAAAUGGACUGCUGAGAUUAAGGGAAAAGAAGAGGAGCAGCCGAUCUCUCGGAAGUACACUUUCGAGGUGUCCCGUGGUGAUGCAAGUGAGAGUAGCAGAUCGGGAAAGAAAGAGAAAAAGGAUAAGAAGGAUAAGAAGGAGAAGAAAGGAGGGAAUGGUGUGCGUCUGGUGGAGAUUGAAGAACCCAAUGAUCAUGGGGUUGUAGUUCUUAGACAGGCUUUUGCAAAGAGAGCUGGAACUUCCAAAAUUAGCAAGGGAAAGUUGAAGGAAUUGUCUCCUCAAGAUGCGGCGUUGUUGAUCCAGCUGACUUUCAGAGCCUAUCUAAUACGUAGAUCAAAGGUUCUUCGUGCCCUUAGAGAGCUGGCAAUUGCCAAGUCCAAGUUGAAGGAGAUCAGAUCAUUGUUCAACAAUUUCUCAUACCGUAGACAAGUGGCCCGUGAUGCAGUGGAACGCCAGAGAUUCUCUGAAAAAAUCAUUGUCCUGCUUCUCACUGUGGAUGCUAUUGAGGGAACUGAUCUGAUGGUGCGAGCAGCUAAAAGGUCAAUGGUGGAUGAAUUGGAGGCAAUGCUUGAUGUGGUGGACCCUCAACCUCCGGGGAAAUUAAAUUCCAUGAAAAGACGGAUAUUUGAUAUGCCUGAUGGCGUUAUAAGGAAGGAAAUAGCUGAAGGUGUGGCUCAGGUUGUGCAAAUGCUUGAUAAUGAAGAGAAUCUCACCAGCACUUUUGAGGCAUGCUUGUGAUGACAUGGGUUUGUAAAAGAUCAUCCCAACUUUGGGUUCAUUUAGCGUCCUGACUUUAUGUUGUGGUGUUGUAAAAUAUGGAGCAUAUCUAAUAUGGUUGAGCUGUUGACUUCCGUUGAUUGGUAGAUUACCUGUGCUCCUUUUGAAUCUGUCCUCCGUUUGAUGAGGAUUAGUUGUAGUAACUUUUUGCUGUAUUUCCGACUACUGCUUUUUUUGAAUAUGCUCAUGACAGCUUUUUUAUUUAUUUUCUGAGCCUAAAACAGUCGGUUUUAGCUGCUAAGUUUUAGGUACUUCCAUGUUUCUACUGUGGUCCAAAUGACUAGUCAGCAUGGGAGAGUUGCACUGAGAGACGAUCAUUUUCAAGGGGCCAAUGGCCCGCUGUUGGCAGGACAAAUUGCCAAAUUGGUAGCUUGUCGUUUGUCCAAGAGAGAGUUUUGAACUAUUCAUUUGGGCCAAACAGGUCUAUUCAAUGCGUGAGGCAGGCUCAGUAUGUUCGACUGAUAAGCAACCUGUCGUUAUAGUAUUUUGGGCACAUUGCUCGAUAUCUCUGUUUCCCUUCGGCCGUUGCUAUCCAGUGAUAGAGGUUUAUGAACUACAUCUGGAGGGUUGUAGUGGUUAAGAGUUCUUCCAAAUCUAUAUAGGACGAGCGACCUUUCGUUGGCUAAAGGGACACCAGAUUUUUUUUAGGUUUUAGCACAAGCUACACUGGAUAUUGAGAACGGACAUAUGUCCAUUGACAAAACACCUGUGUUUAUGUAUGAUAGAUCCAUUGUUUAUAUGAUACUGGAGCGAUUCAGUGUGAACCUGUGCAUAAUGCUUAUGAGUUGGUAAUCGUCGAUUAUAUGUAUUUCUCAUUUAAUUUAGCGAUUGUCAAUUCGUGUGUUUGUGGUAAAUAAGCUCCAUGUAUAAUAAUAAUACCAG
rnacentral:misc_RNA from 1 species